ensembl:lncRNA
GGUACCACCCCCAUAGAGCGCCCAAAAAUAGCGGUGCCUGUCCCAGCACAACAGGAUGGGCCUGGAUCUAUGGCAUCGAUUUAUAGGGUCCACUGCCCAGCACGUGGCAGCAUCAUUCAUGAGAGUGUGAGGUUUCUUUAGCCAGGGGUCCAGACCAAUGCCCACCAGAGGGCCCUCGCUAGAGAGCUGUGGAGCUGGGCCAGAAUCUGUGGUGACAUGAAACGCUGGGCAGCUGUGAUCCAGGCCACACAGGGAGGCAUCAUGUAUCAGGGUGAUGGCAAGAGUGUGGGCUUUGGCAUGACAGCCCUGGAUUCAAAUUCUGGCACGGAGACUUCCUUGCUGGGUGACACCAGGCAAGCUAGUGUCUCUCUGACCUUCAGUGCCCCCUCCUCCAGUUUAGGUAAAGCUCUGGCUCAGGGCGAAUGCUCCGGAAGCGAGGCUGUCUCAGUGAUCAGGGCGCUCCAGGACCAGCAGGGACGACUGAUGACACCGCUGGACUACCUGCCCCUGCUCUCCACACUGAAGAUGUAUUACCUCAUUUGACUCUAUAAGAUAUUUAUUGAGCAACUACUGUACUGCAGGAGCUGAAAUGGGUGUCAGUCUAGCACCAGACCGAUAAAAAAGGGCAAUGACAAUACCAUGGUGUUCCCUGGUGGCUCAGAUGCUCAUCAAAGCCCUGUGUAAGAAGUGCCGUUGCAGUCAUCGCCAUCACCUGCCCAGCAUGGUGGUUUAAGCAAAUGUGUGAGCGCAGCAGCUGGAUGACCUGAAUUCAAGUUCUGACUCCACUGAUAUGUGACCUUGAACUCUGUGGUUAUGUGACCUUGCUUCACUGACUCCAUGUAUAAGACAGGAGCAAACAUAUCUCCCUGGAGCAUUGAAGAUCAUAUGCAGAGUAAGAAGAACACUACCAGCCAUAAGGACACCUCAGUCAUAACAGUAGCUAUUGUCAGUUAUAAAGAAGGAUACAGAAGGUCAAGGUCAAGUUCACCUAGCUGUCCAGUGCAGCAGGGUUUUAUCUCUAAGUCUGCAGACUUCAAAUCUUGGGUUUGGGGAUUAUCUUCUCAUCUUCCCCACCCUGUCCCCCUUGUCACCCUGUCUCCUAAUUAAUCUGUUCACGCCUCUGUCUGUCCUUCCACAUGGGGUUCUUCCAGAGCAGUAUCAGCACCAAGCCGUCUCCCCAGUGGCCGGACGGUGCCUGGCCACCGGGGGACUGUGUUGAAGGAAUGAUGCAUUCCAUGUACCAGGCAUCCUGCUCUGUGCUUCCACAUGGAUUAUUUUAUCUGUGCCUCCAGACCACUCUAUGAAGUAGAUAACAAUUCUUCUACAACUGUCUUGAGCUCCAAUAAAGCACUUAUCGGUCUGG